rnacentral:rRNA from 1 species
UACGGGGGGCAAGGCGCUGUUCGAAAUUACUGGCGUAAGGGCUCGAUAGGCGGCCAACGUAAGUCAGACGUGAAAUCCCUCGGCUUAAACCUCGGGGGAACGGCCUCGUGAUACUGGCUGGCUGGAGUUCGGGAGAGGAUGCGGAAUUCCAGGUGGUAGGCGGUGAAAUGCGUAGAGAUGAUGGAGGAACACCAGUGGCGAAGGCGGCGAUCUUUGGUCGUGAUAACCUGGACGCUGAGGCGCGAAAGCGUGGGAGUAAACAGGA